GAUGAACGCUGGCGGCGUGCCUAAUACAUGCAAGUCGAGCGAACAGACGAGGAGCUUGCUCCUCUGACGUUAGCGGCGGACGGGUGAGUAACACGUGGAUAACCUACCUAUAAGACUGGGAUAACUUCGGGAAACCGGAGCUAAUACCGGAUAAUAUAUGGAACCGCAUGGUUCAAGAGUGAAAGACGGGUUUGCUGUCACUUAUAGAUGGAUCCGCGCCGCAUUAGCUAGUUGGUAAGGUAACGGCUUACCAAGGCAACGAUGCGUAGCCGACCUGAGAGGGUGAUCGGACAGCCUGGAACUGAGACACGGCCCACACUCCUACGGGAGGCAGCAGUAGGGACUCUUCCGCAAUGGGCGAAUGCCUGACGGAGCAACGCCGCGUGAGUGCUGAAGGUCUUCGGAUCGUAAAACUCUGUUAUUCGGGAAGAACAAAUGUGUAAGUAACUAUGCACGUCUUGACGGUACCUAAUCAGAAAGCCACGGCUAACUACGUG
rnacentral:rRNA from 1 species